UACGGGGGGGGGCAAGCGUUGUUCGGAAUUACUGGGCGUAAAGGGCUCGUAGGCGGCCAACUAAGUCAGACGUGAAAUCCCUCGGCUUAACCGGGGAACUGCAUCUGAUACUGGAUGGCUUGAGUUCGGGAGAGGGAUGCGGAAUUCCUGGUGUAGCGGUGAAAUGCGCAGAUAUCAGGAGGAACACCAAUUGCGAAGGCAGCUCGCUGGGACGUUACUGACGCUGAGACGCGAAAGCGUGGGGAGCAAACAGG
rnacentral:rRNA from 1 species